rnacentral:lncRNA from 1 species
UGAACUGAAAAUGGCAAACAAAUAAACAAUAUUUCUUCAGAAUUAGUUCAAUACGUAGAUAUAUGAUGGAUUGCAGGUACUUUAAGUUGAUGAAAUUGCACUACUUCCAUCAAAUAUUCACAUUUCUAAAUGAAAUGAAUAAGCUACCAAAUAAAUUAAUAUUUGAUAGGAUGAGUUGUGGGGCAAAUUUCAGUGGACCAUCGUUGCAAGAUUCACCCA